rnacentral:rRNA from 1 species
AUUGAACGCUGGCGGCAUGCCUUACACAUGCAAGUCGAACGGCAGCACGGGGGCAACCCUGGUGGCGAGUGGCGAACGGGUGAGUAAAGCAUCGGAACGUGCCCUGGAGUGGGGGAUAACGUAGCGAAAGUUACGCUAAUACCGCAUAUUCUGUGAGCAGGAAAGCAGGGGAUCGCAAGACCUUGCGCUCUGGGAGCGGCCGAUGUCGGAUUAGCUAGUUGGUGGGUAAAGGCCUACCAAGGCGACGAUCCGUAGCGGGUCUGAGAGGAUGAUCCGCCACACUGGACUGAGACACGGCCCAGACUCCUACGGGAGGCAGCAGUGGGGAAUUUUGGACAAUGGGCGAAAGCCUGAUCCAGCCAUGCCGCGUGAGUGAAGAAGG